rnacentral:misc_RNA from 1 species
GGAAAACUCUAGUAUCUCUAUAAAUAGGCUCUAGUAAUCUAUCAAAUGCUUUUAGUUGACAAAUUUGAAUGACUUUAGUUCAAUCAAUGCUUUCAAAAUUUGAAAACAGCACAAGGCAUAUUGCAAUAUCAAUCCAUUAGCUUUGUCUUAAAGUUGAUGUUUCUGGGGUUCCGGGGAAAUUAUAGCAAGCAUUUCAUUUCCUUCUGCAUGGUUUGAU